rnacentral:rRNA from 1 species
AAUAUUGCACAAUGGAGGAAACUCUGAUGCAGCGACGCCGCGUGAACGAUGAAGGCCNNNGGGUCNUCAAGUUCUGUCCUAUGNGACNAUAAUGACGGUACCCUAGGAGGAAGCCCCGGCUAACUACGUGCCAGCAGCCGCGGUAAUACGUAGGGGGCGAGCGUUGUCCGGAAUUAUUGGGCGUAAAGGGUUCGUAGGCGGUCUUUUAAGUCAGAUGUGACAGGUAACGGCUCAACCGUGGUAAGCAUUUGAAACUGAGAGACUUGAGUUAAGGAGAGGAAAGUGGAAUUCCUAGUGUAGCGGUGAAAUGCGUAGAUAUUAGGAGGAAUACCAGUGGCGAAGGCGACUUUCUGGACUUAAACUGACGCUGAGGAACGAAAGCGUGGGGAGCAAACAGG